GCCAGUGUGGCAUAGUGGCUUGAGUAUUUGAUUAUGACUCUGGGGACCAGAGUUUGAUUCCCUAUUCUGUCA